AGAGUUUGAUCCUGGCUCAGGAUGAACGCUAGCGGCAGGCUUAAUACAUGCAAGACGAACGGUAAGCAGUGUAGCAAUACAUUGCCAAGAGUGUCGUACGGGUGCGUAACACGUAUGCAACCUACCUUUUACAGGAGUAUAGCUCGGUGAAAACCGAAUUAACCCUCCAUAAUAUCAUUGGAUGGCAUCAUUUGACGAUUAAAACUACGGUGGUAAAAGAUGGGCAUGCGAUUGAUUAGUUAGUUGGCAGUGUAACGGACUACCAAGACGAUGAUCAAUAGGGGACCUGAGAGGGUGAUCCCCCACACUGGCACUGAGAUACGGGCCAGACUCCUACGGGAGGCAGCAGUAGGGAAUAUUGGACAAUGGGUGAGAGCCUGAUCCAGCCAUGCCGCGUGCAGGAAGAAGGCGUUAUGCGUUGUAAACUGCUUUUGCCAGGGGAUAAAAAAGCUUUGCGAAGCAAAUUGAAGGUACCUGGUGAAUAAGCCACGGCUAACUACGUGCCAGCAGCCGCGGUAAUACGUAGGUGGCAAGCGUUGUCCGGAUUUAUUGGGUUUAAAGGGUGCGUAGGCGGCCCUGUAAGUCAGUGCUGAAAUAUCCCGGCUUAACCGGGAGGGUGGCAUUGAUACUGCAGGGCUUGAGUACAGAUGAAGUAGGCGGAAUUGACGGUGUAGCGGUGAAAUGCAUAGAUAUCGUCAAGAACACCGAUAGCGAAGGCAGCUUGCUAAGCUGUAACUGACGCUGAGGCACGAAAGUGUGGGGAUCAAACAGGAUUAGAUACCCUGGUAGUCCACACUGUAAACGUUGAUGACUCGAUGUUGGCGAUACACAGCCAGCGUCCAAGAGCAAUCGUUAAGUCAUCCACCUGGGGAGUACGCCGGCAACGGUGAAACUCAAAGGAAUUGACGGGGGUCCGCACAAGCGGUGGGAGCAUGGUGGUUUAAUUCGAUGAUACGCGAAGGAACCCUUA
rnacentral:rRNA from 1 species